rnacentral:rRNA from 1 species
CCCUUAGAUGUCCUGGGCCGCACGCGCGCUACACUGAUGCAUGCAACGAGUUUAUAACCUUGGCCUGAAAGGUCUGGGUAAUCUUUUGAACGUGCAUCGUGAUAGGGAUAGAUUAUUGCAAUUGUUAAUCUUGAACGAGGAAUUCCUAGUAAACGCGAGUCAUCAGCUCGCAUUGAUUACGUCCCUGCCCUUUGUACACACCGCCCGUCGCACCUACCGAUUGAAUGGUUCGGUGAAGAUCUCGGACUUCGAUAUUUAUUCUUUAUUGAGUUUAUAUUGUGGGAAGUUAUCUAAACCUCAUCAUUUAGAGGAAGGUGAGGUCGUAACA